UAUUGCAACAUCUCCAAUCCAAAUUUUGAUAUCUAGACAAGUUCCAUAUAAUUCACCUCGUGUGUUAUUAGCUCUUGGUAUUGCCCAUCCAUAUUCCAUAUCAAUUGGCCAUUUCCACUUCUUAUAAAGAUCCUUAUACAUAAGAUUUAUUUCAGAACCAUGGUCAACUAAACCAACAAAUGGUUCUUCUAUAUCUUCUACUUUCACCAAUGCUUUAAUAGUUUCCCUUGCCUAAUGUUUUUGAGUAUAAUGGCUUGAAGCUUCCAUUUUCUUAUAACUAUAAUCUUCAAAACAUACUCGUUGAUUAUAUCUAUUCUUUUCAUUUGUUGAUUGCUUGUAACUAUUAUCAACCUCUUCUUCAUCUUUAUAUAAAUUUGCAUCAAUAACAUGACUCAUUCCAACUUUGCCCAUUAAUUACCUCUUUCGCUUAAUGCUGUCAAUGAUAAUAUCAUGAAAUUUCUUUUUUGUAAUUUCUAAAAUCUCUUUCAAUGUGAAUUCCACCUUAGCAUUUAAUAUACGUUCUUCCAACACCCCUUUUAAAUUUGUUACCACUUCAAUAUCAGAAAGUAGCUUACAAGUAAUUGAUUUACCAUUUUCUUUUGUCUCCUUUGUUUUUUGUUCCAAUGAUGCUGAAAUAUCCUUUAUAGGCAAUUCUUAUGAAGCCGCCUCACGAGCCUUGUCUC
rnacentral:lncRNA from 1 species